AAUGAAGUUGCUUGUGUGUGUUCCCCUCCCCCUCAACUUUUUAAUCACCCCAAAGUUCCCUGCAGCAUUUUAUUGCUGGGUAAAUUUGCACACUUGGCCAACUCAGCUGAAAGGUCAUUGGCAUAUGUACUUUUCUUCUGUCCUUACUUCCAUUAUGUUUAAGGUUCAGGAACCUGAAAUUGUGCACACUGAAGCCAGGAAGCCUGGUGUGAAGCAGAGAGAAGUGUUCUGGUAGGAAGCCAGAAGGAGAGGAAUUUGAGAGAUAUAAUGACAUGAGAACCACUCUUAAUUCUUGAACUACCUACAACCAGCUCUGCUGUGACCCUGCAGAAGCAAUCUGUGAAGCUGUCAGCUCAGUGAAAGUGAGGUCAAUCUGACCACACUCUUCCUAAAGGAUCCUCUUCUGAACCACCUACUUGAGUAUACAUCUCCUGACAAAUCAAUGACAGAAUCGAGAGCUAUGUACUUUGCCCAGAAACCUGGAGGCUGAUUGUCCUUUGCCGUGCA